rnacentral:rRNA from 1 species
UGGGGAAUUUUGGACAAUGGGCGAAAGCCUGAUCCAGCAAUGCCGCGUGUGUGAAGAAGGCCUUCGGGUUGUAAAGCACUUUUGUCCGGAAAGAAAUGGCUCUGGUUAAUACCUGGGGUCGAUGACGGUACCGGAAGAAUAAGGACCGGCUAACUACGUGCCAGCAGCCGCGGUAAUACGUAGGGUCCAAGCGUUAAUCGGAAUUACUGGGCGUAAAGCGUGCGCAGGCGGUUGUGCAAGACCGAUGUGAAAUCCCCGAGCUUAACUUGGGAAUUGCAUUGGUGACUGCACGGCUAGAGUGUGUCAGAGGGGGGUAGAAUUCCACGUGUAGCAGUGAAAUGCGUAGAGAUGUGGAGGAAUACCGAUGGCGAAGGCAGCCCCCUGGGAUAACACUGACGCUCAUGCACGAAAGCGUGGGGAGCAAACAGGAUUAGAUACCCUGGUAGUCCACGCCCCUAAACGAUGUCAACUAGUUGUUGGGGAUUCA